CUCCUCGCCAUGCUAAGCCCCUUCCUUCCCGGCCCCGCCCAUCCUCUCGCGAGACAAUCCAAGCCGCGCGAAACCGCCCCCGAACUCUCGCGGGAUCUGGCGGCCCCCUUGGGCUCGGCACCUCACGAGGAGGACACAGGAGUUCGAGGGCGGAAGACGAGAGGCCGGGCGAGAUCUGUCUACUUUCCCCACCUUCUCCACCCUCCCGUGUGAUCGGAUCCCAAGUAAAAUCCGAGCAACGCCAUGUGAAAUCCGUGUGAAUCCGGUUGGGAUUUAGCAGCCAGGUGAAGGAGCCAAAAUCCGGGGGCUGCCCUAAAUUCCGGGGAACAUGGCCACCCUACGAGUCGCCCCUGCCUUCAAGCUGCCAGCUCCCGAGCCUGAAGGAAAACCUCCCUCCCCUCAGGGCAACUUCUCCUCAUCCAAGUCCCUGCCAAGCUGAGAAAACCUGCCCCACGGAGCACCUCGGCUUUGGAAGGCGAGCGAGAAGCAUCCUCUGGAGCUGGCAGCCCUCUGGUCUCCGUCCACUUGGUGCAGUGCCAUCACACACACACACCCCGUUUGACAAAGGAUCCAGCACGCCGCCCCCCCAAAGGGCUACCCACCCACAGUGUCUGGGAGCGAGACCUCCGGGCUUCGGGACAUUCGUGGAGAGGCGACACUGUCGGCGGGGGACGGGACCGACUGGGACCUCAGGCCCUUGCCAGGGCUGCCAGACUCCUGUAAGAAGAAGAGGAGGAGGAGGAGAAGGCGCCCCUUGGCGGGGCCCUCACUGGUUUCAAACCCCUCCUCGGUGCAGCCCGCAGCAGCAGCAGCAGCAGCAGGACAACCGCCAUGGCAUGCCCGGUGCCACUGCCACCCCAGGAUGGCCAAAAAAGAGGCUCCCACCAUUUUGUGGAGCUACCAGCAUCAAAGAUGUGCCACCCCCCGGACCCCUUCCGAGGGCGCCCUUUGAGGGGAGCUUGCUCUGGUCUCCCGCAGUCUCCAGUGGCGGAAACCGGUGAGCACAGCAGGCCCCGAGAGCCCCCUUGGGGGAGGCCUCGCCCCAGGCCCCGCAGCCGCCCGCCCACCCCUCAGAAGCCAGAGGCAGGCUGCAGCCGCCGGACGAGGCUGCGGCCGACUGGAGGGGCAGGCUCUCUGGGGUUCUCGGGCAGCGAGGAAGAAGCCCCGUCACUGCCGCUGCCGCCUCCCAGUGCCCAGCCUCCGCUUCCCGCAGCCCAGACUCACCCCAUCGUCCGGAUCGCACACAAGGUCCAGGCCCAAAGGCUUGAUCUGCACCUGGAUCACGGUGCCUUCCCCAGUGGCCAGCCCCGUCUGGGGCAGGGGCAGAGGUGGGGGCAAGCCCAGGGAGCUCUGGUCCCUGCUGUCCUCCUUCUCUGCAUCGCUCCCGGGAUCUGAGGCGCUGAAGCUGAGCCUGAGGGGGCAGGGAGGAGAGCAUCAGAGCCGGAGGGGCACAGCGGCCUCCAGAAGACCUCCCGGAGUGCCCCACUGCCCCCUUGCCCUUGGCUAGGGCCGCCUUCUGCCACCUGGCACAUGACUCCGGUUUCCAGUCUGAGAGCUGGGCUGGUGGUGGUGACAGGGCGCAGAUUUCUCAGCUGAAAAAAAAGUCUGGAUUUGCCUCGUCCUCUCAGAUGCAGCCAUGUCCUGUUGGGGACCGGCGUGAAGCCCGGGAAAGUGUGAAGGGCCCCCCGCCCCGCCCCGCCCCGCCGUGGGUGCCUGCAUCCGCUUUAUGGCUGCCUUUCUUUCUAACGGUCAGACUGGGAGGCCCCUCUCCGUGACUGCAGCCCAAUGACUUUAUUUCCAUGCUGCACGCGAGGCUGUUUGGGGCUCUGGAGCACCCGCCGAAGACAGGAGAGACCCAGCGCGGUGCCCGAGAAAGGGCAGCCUUGUGCCGGGGGCGCCUUCUCUCUCCGCCUCCCUGCUCCUCCCCGGCCGCAAGGGGGCCUGGAGCGCCCCCCCCGGCCCAGCAGGCCUUUCUGCUGCUGCCGCCAGUGGGAGAGGGGAGCGCUGUGGACCCCCGAUCUCGAAUCACUGGGCUGCAGCUUUGCUCCUGCCCCGCCCGCAGCCUUCCCUGUGCCUGGCUCCCACCGGGGCCCAAGAGGAAAGAGGCUCUGCCCUGCCAAGCCGCCAUUUCGCCUCGGGUCCCCCCUGCCUGUGAGCCACAAUUCGGCACCUGUCUCCAGGCUGUGGACCCAGAAGGAAGGGGGGACACCCAUAAUAUGCCUGAAGCCUGCCCAGCCCUAGAGCCCAGGUCCCCAAGCAGCCAUGCUUCUCCCCCCCCCCACCAACAGCAGGACAAUGGCUGCCUGCUUGUCAAUGGCUAGGUAGUCAAUGGCUGCCUACUAGUCUGGCGGCUUGGGGCCACCUCCAGCCUCAGAGGCAAGAUGCCUCCGAAUCCCAGUCACAGCAGGAGAGAGGGCCGGCUCCCCAGAGGCACCUGGCGGGCCACUGCGAGAAGCAGGAAGGACGCCGGCCGAGAGAGGCCUCCUUGGGCCUGAUCCAGCAGGGCUGCUCCUCUGUUCUUCACUGCAGAGCCCUGGAGGAGACAGGAGCGCCUGCCCCGUUGUGACCGAAAGCCCUGCCAAGAUCCCAGGCAGAGCGCGUUCCCCCAGGCACCUUAUAAGGAGGGCCAAGUUAAAAAUAGACCCCCCACCCCAUGGCCAGGCAGCCAGAUCAAUAGUGCUGGUUCGGAGCUGGCAGGGAUGCAGGGAAACAGCCGUCCCCUCACGGGAUCGGCACAGCCUUACAAAGGCAUCUGGCCCUGGCGGGUUCCGGAGCACCACGGGGCCACUUUCCACUGCUCUGAUGACCGUCCAGGGCCCUGUCAGCCCUCCUGCUUGGAAGCUCGGCGGGGGGGGGGAGAGGCCUCCCCCUUGGAAAGCUGCUCUUUGUUGGCCUUUUGCUUGGCUUGUUUGUGCCUCCAGGAAGAGGUGCACCUAGGCAAUUUGGGAGCCUGGAGCUCAAGGCUUCUGGAGGGGCCCUGCCACCCAGUAUUUGGCCCCCAGGGGGUGUGCAGGCGCUGGACUCUGGCCCUGAAGUCCAGGGGCAAGGGCGCCACUGCCUGCAAGCUUCAAAAAGACAGGGUCCACCACCCCAGCAGGGGACCUUCAAGAAGCCCACAUUUCAAGCAGCAGUGGGGUGGGCAUUGGGGCGGUGAAAAGGGGGCCCCUGACGCCCACACAGCACAUGUGUGGGCCCAGCAGGCUGGGCUACACAUCGCCCUGCCCAGGCAGGAGGGGAGGGGGUGGCAUCUUCCAAAGCCAAGCCCCGGCAGGCAGCCGGGUGUGUUUGCCCCUCCCUGCCAGAGACUCACCUGCAGAGCUCCGAGAAACAGCCGCCCAUGGCUCGCUGACCUAGAGCCCCGCGUGGCUGGUCACUCGCGUCACCAAAGGACAGCCAACCUCCGAGAUGCUGCCGCUUCUCGAGGUGGCUGCCAAAUGAGCCCUUGGCAGAACCCUGGCAGGUCUCCUUGGAGAACCACAAUGACAGGAUUCUGCGGCUGAUUGUGAGGUCACCAGGUCAGUUACUGGCCACACUGGUUGUGGUUUGAAUCGGUUCUGUGUCUCAGGGCUUCAGGGGAGAGUCGUCCCUGUCCUGCCCUCCCAGCUCCUCAUGUCCCCCACCCCACUCCGCAUCACAUGCUGAAGUCCCUUCUCUAGGAAACUCCUCCAUGUUCCUCUUGGCACGGAGACCCCGUUUCUGUCCAGAGUACACAAAGAGAAAGCCAGUAAACCCAUGGAACUCACUGCCCCUAGAUGUAGUGAUGACUACUCACUUGGAUGGGUUCGAAAGGGGGUUGGACACAUUCACCGAGUAAGAGAGGCCCCUCAGUGGCUAGAGAAAGAACCUCCAAGUCCAAAGGCUGAAUCUCAGAUCGGGGAACAUGCAAUGGCCGAGACUUUUUGCCUUGGCACUCUUACAUGUUGCGUUCAUUAUGAACGUUGUUUCCUCCUGCACAAGCAGCAGGUGCAGCCCGCCCCUCUCCACAAGCAUUCCCACAAUGCAAUGCGGGACACUCAAGUUGCAUUGGGGGAUUCUCCCAGGAUUGGGCACUCUAGGUGUCCCUCUCUGUGUGCGGCCGGGCUGGAAGCAGUCCGUUCUUGCACAUGAGCAAGUAGCCAGGGUGAACAGCACCUUGCUGGGAUCGGGCCCGAUGCUGGCACUUUACACACACCAGCUAACCCAGGCUGGGCAUCCCGAGCUGCACAUGAGGACAGCCUCAUGGUCUCCCUGUUCAUUGCUUAUUCCAGGUUACGCAUGAUCCCAACAUGACAGUUCCCUACCGUGCUGCCUGGUGAAAGCAAGGAAGUGUAAGCAAGUGUCCCAUACUCUGAAGGAAGUCAAUAUUGCUAUUUUUCUGUGUGGCUCUGUUGUAAUGAGAGGCCGUUGGCUGUAAUAACAAUGAAGUUGAAGUAUAUUGCUAUUUAUUUUUAUUUGUUUACGUUUCUAUCCCACUAUUCUGCCAAGGACCACCUUGGGGUUAUCUUUUUAACGAAAGGCGGUAUAUAAAUGCAAAAAUAAAUAAAUAAAAUAAAUAAAAAUAAAAUAGUGUACAGGCA